rnacentral:rRNA from 1 species
AGGGAAUAUUGCGCAAUGGAGGAAACUCUGACGCAGCGACGCCGCGUGAGCGAUGAAGGUUUUCGGAUCGUAAAGCUCUGUCCUUGGGGAAGAAGGUCUUCGGACUUGACGGUACCCAAGAAGGAAGCCCCGGCUAACUACGUGCCAGCAGCCGCGGUAAUACGUAGGGGGCAAGCGUUGUCCGGAAUUAUUGGGCGUAAAGGGUGCGUAGGCGGCCUUUUAAGUCAGAUGUGAAAGCCCGCGGCUUAACUGCGGGAGUGCAUUUGAAACUGGGAGGCUUGAGUAUCGGAGAGGGUAGUGGAAUUCCCAGUGUAGCGGUGAAAUGCGUAGAUAUUGGGAGGAACACCAGUGGCGAAGGCGACUGCCUGGACGAAAACUGACGCUGAGGCACGAAAGCUAGGGGAGCAAAC